rnacentral:rRNA from 1 species
UACGAAGGGGGCUAGCGUUGUUCGGAAUUACUGGGCGUAAAGGGCGCGUAGGCGGCCUGACAAGUCAGAGGUGAAAGUCCUGGGCUCAACCUGGGGACUGCCUUUGGAACUGUCGGGCUUGAGACCGGGAGAGGUGAGUGGAAUUCCCAGUGUAGAGGUGAAAUUCGUAGAUAUUGGGAAGAACACCAGUGGCGAAGGCGGCUCACUGGACCGGUUCUGACGCUGAGGCGCGAAAGCGUGGGGAGCAAACAGG